GGAGUUGUGGCCCAGUGGUAGAGUGCUUGCCUAGCAUGCAUGAGGCACUGGGUUCAAUCCUCAGCACCA
rnacentral:tRNA from 2 species